rnacentral:lncRNA from 1 species
CAUAGGGUCAACAGCCGGACGCCUUACUCACAGAAGCAGUUGAGUCUGCGUGACCACUUGGUUGUUAACCUUGUCUUCUUCAAUCUUUUGAGCUGUGUGGCCUACAUCACAAUAUACUAAAGAUUUUUGGGUCAUGAAAUUCGCUAACCUUUAGUAUCAAAAGCACGCGAUUGUAUGGAAUUUCGUAAACAAAGGUCUGAGAGAACUCCUUACUUUUUAUGUAACCAAUUUCGUGGGUUGCGUAGCAAGGAUCACAACACUUUAGGAAUUAGUGUAGACCUAAAUGAUCAUUCUAUGUUUGGCAAAGGUAAGCUUAUCAACUGUGUAGCAUGUUGGCAGUAGAUAAAGCCUCGUAUAUGCACGUUAACUGUUUAACCUUUCAUAAAAAUGUGUGGUUUUAUAAGUUUAGCACGGCUUACUGCUCAAAGGGCAAGCCAUAGGCAGUCUUCUGGAAACUUUAGGCUACCUUAAUGUACUCAGU